GACAGAGGCCUCGAGCGUUAGGCGGAAUCACUGGGCUUAAAGCGUGUGUAGGCGGGUCCGUAAGUGGCUUGUGAAAUCCCACGGCUCAACCGUGGAACUGCUGGGCAUACUGCGGGUCUUGGGCCAACUAGGGGCAGCCGGAACAAGCGGUGGAGCGGUGAAAUGCGUAGAUAUCGCUUGGAACGCCGAAGGUGAAAACAGGCUGCUGGGGUUGCGCCGACGCUGAGACACGAAAGCCAGGGGAGCAAACGGG
rnacentral:rRNA from 1 species